GAUGAACGCUAGCGGCAGGCUUAAUACAUGCAAGUCGAGGGGCAGCAGGUCUGUAGCAAUACAGAUGCUGGCGACCGGCAAACGGGUGCGGAACACGUACAGAACCUUCCUUCGAGCGGGGAAUAGCCCAGAGAAAUUUGGAUUAAUACCCCAUAGCAUAUUGAAGAGGCAUCUCUUUAAUAUUAAAGAUUUAUCACUUGAAGAUGGCUGUGCGGCUGAUUAGGUAGUUGGCGGGGUAACGGCCCACCAAGCCUACGAUCAGUAACUGGUGUGAGAGCACGACCAGUCACACGGGCACUGAGACACGGGCCCGACUCCUACGGGAGGCAGCAGUAAGGAAUAUUGGUCAAUGGACGAAGUCUGAACCAGCCAUGCCGCGUGGAGGAUGAAGGUCCUCUGG
rnacentral:rRNA from 1 species